rnacentral:lncRNA from 1 species
UUAUGACUUGGGGUGAACAAUAAGAAAUGGAAAUGGACAAUUACUUAACAUUAAAGUAUAUGGAAAUGUCACUCAUAGAUAAAAUGCUAGGAUCAUAUAUGAUUAUUUGGAUACUUAUAAAACAUACACUUAAAUGAGAACUGAUUAAGGUGGGUUACCCAAUAACAUGUAUCACAACUUCAUAACAUAGAGCUAUCCUAAUCAAAGUGUUUUGCAGCGGAAAACGUGUGAGAUAUACAUAUGAAGAUGUAUACUCAAGGUUACAUUUCUUGAAAUGUCAAAGGGACACCCGCUCAACAUCAUUCCAUUCCAUCAGUUGCUCAACCUGCACAUUUAGAAAUACAUGCAGGGCUGAGUAUAAAAAUACUCAGUGGGCACGUAUGCCUAGGUAUAAAAAUACAUGCUUCAAAACUGUAAAUUGUCAUGCCAUCAUAAACAGUACAACAAGGGAGUUUUUCGCUAAAAAGGCCCAAGCUUACUAAGUUCAUUUGUGAUUCUUAAAGUUCGUCUGCAGACUAAGUUCUCUUGUAAUCUAUCAUAUCUGGAACUGUGUGCCGGAGAGGUGGCCACCUCUCACGGUCACUUGACCGGCCAACCCGCUAGAUGACUCACGGUCACUGGUGUACACUAGCCCUGGCAGGAUAGCUAUCAACUGCUCAGGACCCGAAUUCGAUUGCAUCAUUGGCAAAGCCAAAGCAGAUAGAUAUCAUACUAAAAUUUAAACAUUUUAUGGCAAGACAAUACUUGAAAUAACUUUAACUCAAAUAUUUUGUAACGAAAUAACUUGCUCAAAUGUAACAUUAAACUCAUUUGAUAGGUAUAUAAAACUGAAAUUAACAGUUAAAUCAUCUCAUGCAUUCAUUCGUAUAAGAGGCCUACGACACGCAGGGGAUCUCUAUAUACGUAUAGUAAAAGUAAUGCCCACCUGAUUAGGCAAAGCCUGAAGAUCAUA